rnacentral:rRNA from 1 species
CCUAAAUGCCUUAAUACUCUAAGAACACCAUAUCCCAUCUGAUCUUGGAAGCUAAGCAGGGUCAAGCCUGGUUAGUGCAUAAAUGUGAAAUUGCUAAUGAAGAGCAGAGAUGAUAGGC